rnacentral:rRNA from 1 species
GUCAGCUUGUGUCGUGAGAUGUUGGGUUAAGUCCCGCAACGAGCGCAACCCUUGAUCUUAGUUGCCAGCAUUUAGUUGGGCACUCUAAGGUGACUGCCGGUGACAAACCGGAGGAAGGUGGGGAUGACGUCAAAUCAUCAUGCCCCUUAUGACCUGGGCUACACACGUGCUACAAUGGAUGGUACAAAGGGCUGCAAGACCGCGAGGUCAAGCCAAUCCCAUAAAACCAUUCUCAGUUCGGAUUGUAGGCUGCAACUCGCCUACAUGAAGCUGGAAUCGCUAGUAAUCGCGGAUCAGCAUGCCGCGGUGAAUACGUUCCCGGGCCUUGUACACACCGCCCGU